rnacentral:tRNA from 1 species
GCGGGCGUGGCGAAAUGGUAGACGCGACAGACUUAAAAUCUGUUUUCCGCAAGGAAGUGCCGGUUCGAUCCCGGCCGCCCGCACCA